CCCGUCCAACGCGGGUUUCUGCGUCCCCGCCGACAACUGUCUCGGCUCGGGCGUCCUGAACGUCAAGCCCUGCAAACAAAGUGCGCCCAUCAUAAUGUCCUCGCCGCACUUCUACCAGGGAGAUGAGAAAUUUGUGCGGGCGGUAUUCGGCAUGAGGCCCCAUAAGGAGUACCACCAGACCUUCAUUGAUCUCAAUCCGCUCACCGGAGUCGUCCUUCGAGCUGCCAAACGUCUCCAGGUCAACGUCUACGUUGA